CACGGACCGCACGAACGUUAUUCGGUAUCACUGGGCGUAAAGGGCGCGUAGGCGGGAUGGCAAGUCAGUCGUGAAAUCUCUCGGCUCAACCGAGAAACGUCGCUGAUACUGCCGUUCUUGAGGGAUGCAGAGGAGACUGGAAUUCCCGGUGUAGCGGUGAAAUGUGUAGAUAUCUGGAGGAACACCGGUGGCCGAAGGCGACAUCCUG
rnacentral:rRNA from 1 species